UACAGGGGGGGCAAGCGUUGUUCGGAAUUACUGGGCGUAAAGGGCCAGUAGGCGGCCAACUAAGUCCGACGUGAAAUCCCCAAGCUUAACUUGGGAACUGCGUCGGAUACUGGAUGGCUUGAAUUCGGGAGAGGGAUGCAGAAUUCCAGGUGUAGCGGUGAAAUGCGUAGAUAUCGAGAGGAACACCUGCGGCGAAGGCGGGUUGCUGGGCCGACACUGACGCUGAUGCGCGAAAGCCAGGGGAGCGAACGGG
rnacentral:rRNA from 1 species